GACGAAUGCUGGCUGCGUGUUUAACACAUGCAAGUCGAACGGUGAACAGGGGCUUGCCCCUGGGAUCAGUGGCGAACGGGUGAGUAACACGUGGGCAACCUGCCCCUCACUCUGGGAUAACUCCGGGAAACCGGGGCUAAUACCGGAUACGACCUGGUGCGACAUCGCACCGGGUGGAAAGAACUUCGGUGAGGGAUGGGCCCGCGGCCUAUCAGCUUGUUGGUGGGGUAACGGCCCACGAAGGCGACGCCGGGUAGCCGGCCUGCGAGGGCGACCAGCAACACUGGGACUGAGACCCGGCCCAGAGUCCGACGGGAGGCAGCAGUGGGGAAUAUUGCGCAAUGGGCGAAAGCCUGACGCAGCGACGCAGCGUGAGGGACGAAGGCCUUCGUGUUGUAAACCUCUUUCAGCGGGGACGAAGCGCAAGUGACGGUACCCGCAGAAGAAGCACCGGCUAACUACGUGCCAGCCGCCGCAGUAA
rnacentral:rRNA from 1 species